rnacentral:tRNA from 1 species
GUUAACGCACCAGAUUGUGGCUCUGGCAUUCGUGGGUUCGAUUCCCAUCAGUCGCC